rnacentral:lncRNA from 1 species
GCCUCAAAUACGCUGCUGUGCUCCCACUCAGGAUCAGGGCCGCCAAGAUCUUCGCAGAGAUUUUGUUCUGGACCAGGGGCGCCUCGGUGCAACCAGACGCCAUCCAGAUGCGCUGCAGUAGCAAGCCCGCCUGUCCGGAUCUCGGGCGAGGAGGGAAGCGGAGCCUGAGUUCCUGUGGCUGCUGUUGUUUUAAAACAUGAAGAUGCAGCAGCACAUGUGACCUGUACCACAGCAUGUCAUAAAGAUCUCCAGGAAGCCUGAGUCAUCAGUGGAGACCCACAGCCUCAUACAUACUCACCCAGCAGUCACAGUCCUCAGGUGGCUACAGUCAUGUCCUCUUUUUUCAGUUUUAAGAAGAAGACUCAAUAAGAGGAAUACAGUUUGACUCAUUAAAAAGUUAUCCCAUGACCACCUUUUGCUCUGACACCC